AGUGAACGCUGGCGGUAGGCCUAACACAUGCAAGUCGAACGGCAGCACAGUAAGAGCUUGCUCUUACGGGUGGCGAGUGGCGGACGGGUGAGGAAUAUAUCGGAAUCUACUUUUUCGUGGGGGUUAACGUAGGGAAACUUACGCUAAUACCGCAUACGACCUACGGGUGAAAGCAGGGGAUCUUCGGACCUUGCGCGAUUGAAUGAGCCGAUGUCGGAUUAGCUAGUUGGCGGGGUAAAGGCCCACCAAGGCGACGAUCCGUAGCUGGUCUGAGAGGAUGAUCGGCCGCACUGGAACUGAGACACGGUCCAGACUCCUACGGGAGGCAGCAGUGGGGAAUAUUGGACAAUGGGCGCAAGCCUGAUCCAGCCAGACCGCGUGGGUGAAGAAGGCCUUCGGGUUGUAAAGCCCUUUUGUUGGGAAAGAAAAGCAGCAGGUUAAUACCCCGCUGUUCUGACGGUACCCAAAGAAUAAGCACCGGCUAACUUCGUG
rnacentral:rRNA from 1 species